rnacentral:rRNA from 1 species
AUUGACCGCUGGCGGCAGGCUUAACACAUGCAAGUCGAGCGGAGAUGAGGUGCUUGCACCUGAUCUUAGCGGCGGACGGGUUGGUAAUGCUUAGGAAGCUGCCUAUUAGUGGGGGACAACAUUCCGAAAGGAAUGCUAAUACCGAAUACGUCCUACUGGAGAAAGCAGGGGAUCUUCGGACCUUGCGCUCAUAGAUGAGCCUAAGUCGGAGUAGCUAGUUGGUGGGGUAAAGGCCUACCAAGGCGACGAUCUGUAGCGGGUCUGAGAGGAUGAUCCGCCACACUGGGACUGAGACACGGUCCAGACUCCUACGGGAGGCAGCAGUGGGGAAUAUUGGACAAUGGGGGGAACCCUGAUCCAGCCAUGCCGCGUGUGUGAAGAAGGCCUUAUGGUUGUAAAGCACUUUAAGCGAGGAGGAGGCUACUGAGACUAAUACUCUUGGAUAGUGGACGUUACUCGCAGAAUAAGCACCGGCUAACUCUGUGCCAGCCGCCGCCGUAAUAC